rnacentral:rRNA from 1 species
UACGGGGGGGGGCAAGCGUUGUUCGGAAUUACUGGGCGUAAAGGGGUUGUAGGCGGCCAACUAAGUCCGACGUGAAAUCCCAAGGCUUAACCUUGGAACUGCGUCGGAUACUGGAUGGCUUGAAUUCGGGAGAGGGAUGCAGAAUUCCAGGUGUAGCGGUGAAAUGCGUAGAUAUCUGGAGGAAUACCGGUGGCGAAGGCGGCAUCCUGGACCGAC